rnacentral:antisense_RNA from 1 species
GAGGAUAUUGCUUUAUUUUAUCCUUUGCCCAAGGUUUAUUUCGUAAUCGCAUUGUUACACCUCUAUAAAAUAAUAUCGUACAAACCAUAACAUGCAACCU